GACGAACGCUGGCGGCGUGCUUAACACAUGCAAGUCGAACGGAAAGGCCCUGCUCUUGUGGGGUGCUCGAGUGGCGAACGGGUGAGUAACACGCGAGUAACCUGCCCUUGACUUUGGGAUAACUUCAGGAAACUGGGGCUAAUACCGGAUAGGAGCUCCUGCUGCAUGGUGGGGGUUGGAAAGUUUCGGCGGUUGGGGAUGGACUCGCGGCGUAUCAGCUUGUUGGUGGGGUAGUGGCUUACCAAGGCUUUGACGGGUAGCCGGCCUGAGAGGGUGACCGGCCACAUUGGGACUGAGAUACGGCCCAGACUCCUACGGGAGGCAGCAGUGGGGAAUAUUGCACAAUGGGCGGAAGCCUGAUGCAGCAACGCCGCGUGCGGGAUGACUGCCUUCGGGUUGUAAACCGCUUUCGCCUGUGACGAAGCGUGAGUGACGGUAAUGGGUAAAGAAGCACCGGCUAACUACGUG
rnacentral:rRNA from 1 species